rnacentral:rRNA from 1 species
GACGAACGCUGGCGGCGUGCCUAAUACAUGCAAGUUGAGCGCUGAAGGUUGGUACUUGUACCCACUGGAUGAGCAGCGAACGGGUGAGUAACGCGUGGGGAAUCUGCCUUUGAGCGGGGGACAACAUUUGGAAACGAAUGCUAAUACCGCAUAAAAACUUUAAACACAAGUUUUAAGUUUGAAAGAUGCAAUUGCAUCACUCAAAGAUGAUCCCGCGUUGUAUUAGCUAGUUGGUGAGGUAAAGGCUCACCAGGGCGAUGAUACAUAGCCGACCUGAGAGGGUGGUCGGCCACAUUGGGACUGAGACACCGCCCAAACUCCUACGGGAGGCAGCAGUAGGGAAUCUUCGGCCAUGGACGAAAGUCUGACCGAGCAACGCCGCGUGAGUGAAGAAGGUUUUCGGAUCGUAAAACUCUGUUGGUAGAGAAGAACGUGGGUGAGAGUGGAAAGCUCAUCAAGUGACGGUAACUACCCAGAAAGGGACGGCUAACUACGUG